rnacentral:lncRNA from 1 species
AUUUAUUUAUAGAUGAGGUUGUGAGAAGGCAGAGAGCACGUGAUUCCUCUGAUAUGCGCAAGCCGUUUUCCCAUCUGCUCCCAUGUGCAGGAAUAGGGGAGAAAUGGGUCAGAUAUCAUCCAAUGCCUUCCUGACCAGGCUUCACAGGAGACCUGCUGGUUGGAGGAGAAGUUUGGAAGAUACCAGAUGUGUACUCCACCUGUCAUCUGCCAAACCUGCAGAUCUUGUACAUCAGGCAUCUUGGAAUCUCAGGAUGGGGGAUAUCACCAUGAGUUUUGAGACUUUGCCGACCAUCUCCCAAGAACGAGUAAUCAACAUCCUGCAUGCUUGGAGUCUUCACACCCCAGAGGACCAACUGCCAUGUGCAGAUGCCUCCCAGCAACACCCAGGGCAUUUAUGAGCUAAUGUAGAAGACCACCAGAUACCAAGUGGAAUGGGGCAGAAUGGACCAUUAUUUAUUUUGAGAGUAAAAUCCAGGCAUGUGAGAACACUCUCUAUCCCCUAGCACACUGGGAACAGAGAGUGUGAUGAUUAAUUUUUUGUGUCAGCUUGGCUAGGUCACAGUACUCAGAUACCUGGUAAACAUGCUGUGAAGGUAUUUUGUAGAUGAGAUUAAUGUUUAAGUCCGCAGACUUUGAACAAAGAAGAUUGCCUCCACAAUGUGGGUGGGCUUCAUCCAACCCAUUGGAUGAGCUUUAAGAGAAAAAAGACCUCCUUCAGGAGGAGAGGAUUCUUCCUGUGUCUGACUUUAAACUGGAACUGCAGCAUCAACUCUUCCCUGGGUCUCCAGGCUGCUGGCAACUAAUAAAAAGGAGGACAAACACCUCUGUCCUCUGUUACUUCUGGCUAACUCUCAUUCAUAUCCUUCAGGAUUCAGCUCAGGUGUCACCACCAAAGUGAUGUUGUCACUGGAGUCUCAACCUGGGUUAGAUGCAUUUUCACACUCUGUAAUAAUUGUAUCUAUUUCUUGGACAGUUAGGAUCACCUCAUAUUCAUAUUCAUAUGCCUAAUGCCUAGGAGAGAUCCUGGCCUCUAGGGAGAAGCUCACUAAACAAGAUGACAACAUGAAUGCAAUGACUGCUCAGGGCAGCAGCUUUGUCUCAGUCAUCUCAAAAUAUGCCUAGUACCCUAGUAUUGCUAGUCUUUCACUACAUUUUAGCUGAACCAGACUAAACUACCCAAGCCAUCCCUAAAGGUGGCUGGUUGUACAUGAGAAAGGAUGUAUUAUGGGUUGAACUAUGUUCACUCAAAUUCAUAUGUUAAAAUCCUAACCCCCAGGACCUGUGAAUGUAACUUUAUUUGAAGAUACUGUCUUUACAGAAAUAAUAACCAAGUGAAAACGAGGUCAUCAAGGUGGUUGCUAAUGCAGUGUGACAGGUAUUCUUAUAGAAAGGGGAAAAUUGGAUACGGAGAGAUGCACAGAGGGAAGACAAUGUGAAGAGAUAGAUGCCAGCUGUUUGAGUCAGGGUUCUCCAAAGGGACAGAAAUAAUAGGAUAGAUGUAUAUUUGAAGGGGAGCUUAUUAGGAGUAUUGACUUACAUGAUCACAAGGUGAAGUCCCACAGUAGUCCGUCUGCAAGCUGAGGAGCCAGGAAACCAGUCCAAAUCCCCAAACCUCAAAAGUAGGGAAGCUGAUAGGGCAGCCUUUAGUCUGUGGCUGAAGGCCCAAGAGCCCCUGGCAAGUCACUUGUGUAGGUCCGAGAGUCCAAAAGCUGAAGAACUUGGAGUCUGAUGUUCGAGGGCAGGAAGCAUCCAACAUGGGAGAAAGAUGGAGGCCAGAGACUCAGCAAGUCUGCUUUUUCCAUGCCUGCUUUUAUGCUAGCAGCUGUGAUUAGAUGGUGCCCACCCAGACUGAGGGUGGAUCUGCCUCUCCCACUCCACCAACUCAGAUGUUAAUCUCCUUUGUCAACACUCUCACAAACACACCUAGGAACAAUACCUUGCAUCCUUCAAUCUAAUCAAGUUGACACUCAAUAUUAACCAUCACACCAGCCAACAAGGAGAGAAGCCUGGAACAGCUCUUUCCUUCACACAUUCAGAAGGAGCGCACCCUGCUGACACCUUGAUUUUGGACUUUUAGUCUCCAGAACUGAGACAAUAAACUUGUUUAAACCACUCACUGUGGUAUUUCAUAACCACAGACCUAGUAACCCAAGACAGGGUAUACCCCUACCACCAAAUGCUUCUUUUUCAGUUUACCCAGUUAUCCAGCCACCCGUGUAGCUCUUUCCAGUUCUUUAAUAUUUAGGGAAGAAGUGAAUCUUUAAGUCACUGAGAUAUCACAAAAUCUUGACUAUCUUGUUUCCUGGGCUUCCUUACUUCCUAACACAACUGGAAAGUGAACUUUCUCUGAGCAUGCCACCUGGCACAUAAUAGGCAUCCCAUAAGCACUGGAUGACUGAGUAAAUAAAACACGUUGUGUUCAUGAUUUAUUCACUCAUUCAGCCAGUGCUUAUGGGAUGUCUACCAUGUGCCUACCUAUUCCUCCUAGCACAAUAAAACCAACCUUCUGUGCCCUGUUUGACUCUCUUAGAUCAGCCUCUGCAUUCCACUGUAACUUCAACCCCCUUUGAGGUUGUUAUUUAUUUCUUAGCAGGUGCUUUGAUUCAUUAGCGGUUUCCAUUAAAGCUAUGGUUGAAAAGACACUUUCAUUUGAAACCCUUGAGCAUGGUGUUUUUGUUGGCUGGCUUUUCCUGCUCUGAAAUAAUUACUCUUUUUGAGGUGCUGAACUUUCUCUUGUGUGUCUCUUUCCUCUGACAGCCCUUUCUUUGAUCCUUUCUGGAAAGACUUGUCCUGGUCCAUUUAGUAAUGCCAGAAGAUCUUAAAGGAAAAUAAAUCAUUGACUAUUCACACUGAAAGACUCUAGGAGAUGCUUUUGUCCAAACUCUUCAUUUCCAGAUGAGGUCACAGUUUUCAAAAUAUGCCAUGUGAAUGAUAGCACAGCAGUCAUAAAAUAAUAAUAAAAGCAUUUGCCUUAUAUUUUACCAUUGGCGAAGAAUUUUCACUUACAUGAUUUUACUUCAUACUGCCUUAAGUAGCGUGAGAUAACUUGGAGAAUUAAAAAAAAGAUUAUUGGCUCUGAUGUCAGGAUUAGAAUUCUAAUCAGUUAGAAUUCUAGCAUUGCUACUGCUGUUAUGACUUUGGGCAAGUCAUGUCACCUUUCUAAGCCUCUGUUUCUCUAUCUAUAAAUGGUGAGGACCCAGGUUUCCCAAUAAAGUUGCUGAAAGACAAAAAAUAUAAAAGAUCUUUGGAAACCAUAAAGUGUUACAGAAAUAUAUAAUAUGGUAAUUUUUAUUUCAGCUUUUUCUUGAUUUUUAUUGUUAUCAGCAGAACAGGGACAGGGUUUUUAAAAAGAAUUUUAUUUUUAAGUGAGAAAUGAGUAAAUUGUGCCAACUAUACAGGGUGCCAAUUGAAUUCACAGUGAGAAGCUUAAUAUAUCAGAGAUACCACUCACAUCACGGCAUUCAUUAAUGUGAACUUGAAAUUUGAGAUGCGUUUGUGUGUGAAUAUCUGUCUCCAUCACCACUAAGUUGCUUUUUAAAAGAAAUGCAUUCUUCUAUCUCCUUUGUUUUUUGUAUUCUUUCUGGUUAUAAAAAUUUCACUGUUUCAUUCAUUGAGCGAAUAUUUAUUGACCCAUGUGCUAGAUACAAGUCAAAACACUGGGUAAUGUAGCUUUUAACAAAACAAGUUUUUGUCCUCAUGACACUCACAUUUUAGAUGGAGGAAAUAGAUGGUAAAUGUAAAGUAAAUGUAUAGUAUGUCAGAUGAUAAGAUAAAUUAUGGAGAAAAAUUUAAAGUGGUAGUAGGAGAGGGAGUACUUGAAGGUAAAGGGUAAGACACAGAAACACAGCACAGACCAGAAGAAGGUGACAGAAAAGCCAUGGAUGUAGCUGAGGGAAAAGCAAUUAGGCAAGGGAACAGAAAGUGCAAAAGUUUAGAGUAUCAUCACAUGAUCAUACUUGGCAUGCCUGGGGAACAGUGAGGAGGCUAUUGUGACUAAAGUUCAUUGGGUGUGAGGACAGGAGUGGGAUAUGAGAUCUGAAAACUAGUGGUGCUGGGUAUGAGAGUGGCAGCGUCAUGUAGGGCCUUGUAAACAGUUGUAUAAGGAUGUUGUUCUUUACUCUGAAUUAGAAGAGAACCCAUUGGAAGAUUUUGAGUAAAGAAGUGACAUGAUCCAAUUCAUGUUUUUGAAGGAUCCCUUCAGCCAUGGGGUUGAGAAUAAACUAUAGCAGGAAGAAGUAGAAAUAGUAUAUGGCAUUACUACCUGCAGAAGAUGAGGGAGGCUUGUACUAGUGUGGUCACAGUAGAGGUGAUGGGAAGUGGUUUGUAUCAGUCAGUAUAGGCUCUGCCAUAGCCUACUAACAAAAGAUCCCUGUUAUCUCUGUGGCAUAGAAUAACAAAUGUUUAUUACUUGCUGAGGGAUAUGUGCUUCAUGGAAUGUCUGUGGCUCUAAUCCAUAUUAUGCUUAAUGCAAGACUCAGGCUGGCAAAGUAGCUUCUGUCUGGAACAUUGCCAGCUGCAGAAGAGGCAUUGGCCAAAACAAGGAACAGGACUGCUCCUGAGUGCAGCAGAGCAAGGAUAAACAGUCUUCCAAGGGAGGAGCAUCACAGAGACAGAAGUCAUGAUAGAGAACAGUUACAUCAUCUCCCACAUGGUCAAAUUCAGGUUCUACUUUGAAGGUAGACACAAUAGAUUUGGUAUGGGUUUGGACCUAGGCUGGUGACAAAAAGAAAUAAAUGAAGAAUGACCCCUAGGAUUUGGCCUGACCAACUGUAAAGGCAGAGCUGUAAUUUUCCAAGAUGAAGAUGAUUAUGGGAGGAGCAGGUGUGGACAUGCCAAGCUUGAGCUGAUCACCAGACAUCCAAGUACAAAUGGCAAGGACACAGUUGGAUAGAUGAGUCUGAAGUUCAAAGAAGAGGUUCAAGUUGGUGAUACCAAUUUGGGAGUCAUGUUGAAUGCAGAAAGAAUCUAAAGUACAGAAAAGCAUUCAAAAAAGGGAAACUAUGUAAAACUAGAUGUGAGCUUUAGAAUCUACCUUUAUGUUCACUAAGCCAUAAAAGACAAGGUAUCAUUUGGGAAUUUCCAAAUUGUGACCAUAGCUUUGUCUCAUAGAGUUAAUAUAUAACAACAUCUAAACAGUUGUUUCUGGCGCGAAUAUAACUCAGCCUAAGCCUCACCCUUAGUCUUCCACUUGGGAUCUCUGCCAGUUUAAGAUACCAACCUGUGCAGUUUUUCAUGACAGUGUAUCUCCUAUUAUUUCAUGUAAUUAUUAACCACAAUCUGAGCUCCCUGCCUCCCAAGUCCAAACUCUACCAUUCCAAGAAUCUCAAUUUUUCCCAUCACCAAAAGCUACGUCUAUGUCCUUAGAAGAUUAGUUUUAUGGUUUAACCAUUAGAAUUGUUUGCAAUAUGCCCGACCCACUCUGAAAUAAGCCCCAAACUUCAAGUCAUGGACUUUUAGAUAUGGAUGAUUUAGAGGCUGUAUAGUGUAAUGAUCAAUUUCAUGCAAGAAGCUCCUCUGGAGUCUUCUGAACAGUCUUCUGCCUUCUGAGUUCCUUUGUGGUGAUGUGCUCAGCCCAAAAUCAACAGUUUUCCAACACUUACUCUGCCACCAGUUCUGUGCUAGGCAUCCUGGAGGAUAUAGACAUAAUAAAUAAUUUGUCCCUGCUGUAAGAGAAGUUGUGCUAUAAUAGGCAGCCUGCUAUAUUUUGGAGCAGCUCUGUUAGAAAUCGUUUCUAAUGUUGAUCCAAAAAUUCAGCUCACCGUGGUUUCUGCUCAUUGGCCUCUCCAUAGUCUAAUACCUUAGUAAGUACCAGAGGGAGAAGAUGCAAGUGGGAAGGGGAGUUUCCUCUCCUCUGCCCCUGCUAGUUUCUCUACAAGGCAAGGGAGAUACCAGUAAAAUGGUAGCCAGUGACAGUCAAGAUCAUAAAUCCUACCACAUAUGACAGUGCACAGUCACCAUGCAUUGAAACAUUGCAUAAAUGCACCUGGGCCUUCCUUCCAUAUUUCCUCCGUGCAUCUGGAGCCCACUCAGUAUUCAGCUAUUGUGAUUUUCUCUCCUUUUUUUCUCGUAUCCAUAUCUGACAAGCAUGUCAUUUUGUUAUCAUGAUCAUUGUAACAGGCCAAGGAGCUUGCGAUCUUAGAAUCCAGUGAGACUUGAGGGAAGAUAGAAACCUUAAUGGAUGUAUAGGUGAGAUUUUGCUGCAACCCCUCUAUAUAUUUUCCUUUGGGGUAAAACACACUGGCCCAAUGAAUAAUAAAAUCUUGGUUUGUUUCUUAUUUUCAUUGAUCUUUGUAGGUAUAAUUUUCUCAAGGAUUUCACAGAGAAGGGGUCACUGGGAUGAGGCAAGGUUUGGGUAUUUUUGGCUUUGUUGGCUAUAAUGCCAGCAGAACUUUGUCCUACUAUUUAAGAGAAGAUAUUUCUUAUCUUACUUGACACAGUCAGUCAUCUGUUGCUUGAAUGUCAUCUUCGGCAUCCCCUAAAGACAUUCAUGCAGCCUGUAUUUAUACACUUUCAGUGAAAGAGAUCACAAUACCUUCCAAAGCUGCCCUUUCCAUCUUGGGCACACUCCUGAUGAGGAAAAAUUUCUUUGUAUGUCAAGGCAAAUCUGAUCCCCCUGUCUUCCAUCUCACGGCCCCAUUUCUAUCCCCCGGGAUGAAAAGGGAAUAGAUUUAACAAGCUGAUUCCUUUUUUAUGUAAAAGCUCUUCAACUUGACUACAGUCCCCUCUAGUUAUGUCAAGGUCUACUAACCCGCAGAAAGAGAUAUUCCCAAGUGUUGGUUAUUUCUCUGUAAUUGACUUUUCUGCUCAGUGUUCAGGUCAGACGAGCCUAUGUUGAUCUAUGGAUCUGAAAUCCCCUCUAUGUACACAGUGAAAUGGAGUACAACAGCUUGGGUAUGGGUAUUGGCUAUGAAUAAAAGUCAGGGCUCCUGGUACAUGCCCAUUUCAUUUGAAAUAACUUAGGGCUCUAAAGAAGACCUCACUUUGACACCUAACGAUCUUAACGUUCACUAAAUGUACAUGCAAAUGACAACUUUGGUUAGGAGCCAGAUAGACAAGUGGUCACUGGUAUAUGUGAUCAUCAAUGUGUACACACAACGUUUGUACAUAACAAGUAAGAAGUCUUUAUACUUGCAUAAGAGUAAGAGGUAGAGUGGUAAAUACACAAGAGCAAGACAGACCCAGUUCCAAUCCUGCCUCUAUCAUUUUCUAUAUUUUGUGCCCUUAGGCCAGCUACUCUCUCUCUCUCUCUGGACCUAAUUUUUCUCCCAUAUUUGCAAACCAGAGAAAUAAUAUUCUCCUUACAAGGAUGUUGUUAGGAUAAAACAAGUGAAGGCUAUAUAGUACCUGAUACAUAAAAGAUGCUCCAAAAAGUAAGUUAC